UCCUACGGGAGGCAGCAGUGGGGAAUAUUGGACAAUGGGGGCAACCCUGAUUCAGCCAUGCCGCGUGUGUGAAGAAGGCCUUUUUGUUGUAAAGCACUUUAAGCAGUGAAGAAGACUCCAUGGUUAAUACCCAUGGACGAUGACAUUAGCUGCAGAAUAAGCACCGGCUAACUCUGUGCCAGCAGCCGCGGUAAU
rnacentral:rRNA from 1 species